rnacentral:rRNA from 1 species
GUGUACUAGAUAAUCGUGCCAACGGCAUAGCUGGGUAGCUAUGUGUGGACGGGAUAAGUGCUGAAAGCAUCUAAGCAUGAAGCCCCCCCUCAAGAUGAGAUUUCCCAACUUCGGUUAUAAGAUCCCUCAAAGAUGAUGAGGUUAAUAGGUUCGAGGUGGAAGCAUGGUGACAUGUGGAGCUGACGAAUACUAAUCGAUCGAAGACUUAAU